ACAGGAUAACGCGCUCCGAGAAGGAGAAGGAGGAGGCAAAAAGAGACCAUAGACUUCCACCUGGGCCUAGAGCGGCUCUUAAAGUAGUGGCGAGAGGCAGGGUGGGCGGGGACCACCCUCAAUACAGGCCGCCGGAGGUAUCAUGGCGACCCGGAAUCCCCCUCCCCAAGAAUAUGAAAGUGAUGACGAAUCUUACGAAGUGUUGGAUUUAACUGAGUAUGCAAGAAGACACCACUGGUGGAAUCGAGUAUUUGGCCACAGUUCUGGACCUAUGGUAGAAAAAUACUCAGUAGCCACCCAGAUUGUAAUGGGUGGAGUGACUGGCUGGUGUGCAGGAUUUUUGUUUCAGAAAGUUGGAAAACUUGCAGCAACUGCAGUGGGUGGUGGCUUUCUUCUACUGCAGAUUGCUAGUCACAGUGGCUAUGUGCAGAUCGACUGGAAGAAAGUUGAAAAAGGUGUAAACAAAGCGAAAAGACAGAUUAAGAAAGGAGCAAAUAAAGCAGCACCUGAAAUCAACAACAUAAUUGAAGAAGCAACAGAAUUUGUCAAACAGAACAUUGUGAUAUCCAGUGGAUUUGUGGGAGGCUUUUUGCUAGGCCUUGCAUCUUAAGGAUAUGAAUAUUCUACCACAGUGGAGUCAUCUGUGAAAAGAAAAGUGGUGGCGACAAGGCUUUCUUCUAGAUGCUGGGAAAACAGCAAAAAUCCCUGGCCACAUGAAAUUGACAUGGGAAAGCUGGAUAAUAGUUCACAGAACGGUUGAACGAUGAUAAUCCCUGCUUACUGCCCAGGACACACAUUCUAUAGUGAACUUCAUGGCGAGCCACGCAGAAUUUCUCCUUCAGGACUGAGGUACUCACUCCCCCAGUUGCUGAGAGUAUUGGCAGAUGAUAACUUUCAUACAAGUCUCUCUCUGGAAAUUUUUCUUAGUUGAAGAGUGCCACCUCACCCAAGAUUCAUAUUCUCUUCCCAGGGACAGCCUACAUCCAAUGACUUGUUAAAAGAGGGAGCUCUAAAGACCUAUCUCUCUUGUCUCAAGGCAAGACACCUCUGAAAAAGUCAUCCCAGCUUUGGAACAACACAUGAGAUUUCUAAGACCUUUUUUUGUGAAUGUAUUGUAGCCCAAUAACUUCCUCUGCCUAAUCCUACUUCUUUUACUCCCCCACCGGGGCUGAUCCCAAUGACACUUCCUAAUACAUUUCUGAAUGCUAAACUCCACUUUGGAGUCUGCUUCCUGGGGAACCUGCCAUAAAACACACCCUGUAGGUUUUUGGGCAUUUCCCAUACUUCGGGACCUUUGAUCAUACUGUUUUCUCCACCCAGAACACCUUCCUUAUAAUCCUCUGCUAGUUAAAACCCUAUCCAUACUUCAUGGCCUCCCUGAAACAUCACCUAUUCCAUAAAGUUCUCCCUGACUCCUCAACGCAGGAGCCUUUGCUCUCCUUUUGAACUCCCCACUAGUGACACUCUUUUCAUACUUCUGUUAUGGUGACAGUUUGUAAGGGAAGAGCUUGGGCUUUGGAGUCAAGCAUGCUGGGAUUCUUCCAUUUAUUAGCUGUGUGACCACAGCCUCCUCAGUUUUUCUCAUUAAUAAAAUAAGGGGGGAAAGGCUAUUUUAUAACCUUAUUGUGAACAUUAAAUGAUAUAACACAGAUAAAGUGCUUGGCUCAUAGGAGAUGCUCAAGUUCAAGAUCCUCCCACACUUUCUUUUCUCCUUUAUUAUAUCUUGUAUCUUUAUUGAUUAUACCAGUCUUUCAUGGACUUGUUUCAUCUGCCUAUGGGCUUGGUAAGGGCUGGAAUAUGCCUUGCUUAUCUUUGUAUUCACACAGUGCUUAGCACAAACAGCUUAACAAAUGUUGAACUAAAUGCUGCUUUUGGGCAAAAUCUUCUAGUUUGUUUUUGGAACUAAGAAUUCCAUGUUGUAUCCCAUAGUUCAUAAAUUUAUCACACAAAUAAGGGAGUUCAGAAUGUCUGUAAGUUUUCAAUAGGAACUGUAGCUGCAGAGAGUCCCGACAACCUUCUUGCUGGCCUUAUCUCUCACUACAAGCACCAUAUAAAAAGUCAAACAGCAAACAAAGGUACCCUUAGAGAGUCUGGACUCAGAUAAUAGCUAAGAAAUUUAAAGGCAAAUCAUAUACACUGAUAUUUCUUUGACUAAAGUUUCUUUUAACAGAUUUUUUAAUGAGCAUAGUUGAGAAUUCUAAAAUAAUCUUAAAGGUUAGAUCUGGAGCAAGAAGUGACUAAGUUAGCACAGUGCUUAGCAUAUGUCCAGGAUAUGUUUCUUGAGUGAAUAAAUGAAUGGUUGGAUGGGUGUGGCUGAGCCAUGGGUGAAAUUCUGUAGAAGGACUACUUCUAUCUUCUCAGACACACUCAGGUCAUCUUCAGAGAAAACUGAAAGGCAGAGUCAGACAAUUCUCCUAUGUAGCCACUCUUAGGUAUGAUUGCUGGGAUAAGUGAAAGGCCCCUCUUAUGUCUGACAGUGUUGUUCCUGAAAGGAAACACAGAUGGUAAUAAUGCUGUGGUGUUGGAAGUUAAAUUUAUUUAAACCCCCAGAAUAAUUUUAAGUCCAAUUUUCUUAAUAGACAUUGAUGGCUUGUGUCACAAAUUGGGUUCCCCUUAGAAGCUGAGACUGGGUUUAGUGUGCAAGAUAUUUAUUAAGGAGAGCCCCUGAGAUCAACACCUGUGGGAAGGAGGAGAGGGAAACAGGAAUGGCCAGAGAGAGGAGCUGAGCUGGAAUGCAGGCCCAAAGACAGCUUUGGCCUACCCUACAGAGGGCUCUAGAGCUAGAUGGCCCUUUGGAGUUGUCUCAAGUUGGGCAAAAAUGAUCAGAUCUUUAUACUCUAUGCUCAAUCAGUUAUUGUAUAUGGGUUGUUCUCAGAAUGGUGUGAUUUGAGGUGAGAUGGUUUUCUGCAUCUGAGGCAGACCCUGAAAGGGCUGAGGGCUGUCUGCUUCCUGUACUUCUACAGCUGAGGUACCAUGUCCUUCCAUGUAGGGGGUCUGGGAGAUGAAUCUUUAUAUUCACAGCUCAUAAUGCCUCUUCUCUUAGAAUGUCCUUCCCUCCUUUGUUGGGCUAACUUCCACUCAUCCUUUAAUAUUAAUCUCAGAACAUUAUCUCUUCUAAGCUGUUUUUUUCUAGAUUCCUCAAAACAAGGUAAGAUGUUUCUACAUGGUGCUUACAAAAUACCACUCUAUUGGAUUUCUGCUUGUGUAUUUCAUUCCAGACUGGAAGCCUCUUCAUGGCCCAGCGCCAGGCAAUGUCUGACUCAGAUACAGGGAUUCGAUUCAUGUUUGUUAAAUGAAUAAUUGGAUGGAAGAGUUUUGGGGCUCAUUAACAGCACUAGUAUGUGAGUGUAUAGUCCUAUUGGCUAAGAAGUUACAAAAUAAGUCUAUUAUAACAUCGUAUGUAUUUAUUCAUACUUUUAAACUUAUAAUAAAUAGGUCUGUUAAAUCCUCUGAAUCAUUUUUAAUUUGGCUAGGUGGCUGUUUUGCAAAAUGUAUGGCAUAUAUGAUGCUUUUCUGAGCUGCUAUUUUCCAACCAGCAGGUUAGGACACUUUGGUGGGUCACAAAGUUGUUUUUGAUGUGUCACAAUAUAAUUGGUUUCCUCAUUCUGUUAUUGAUUUCUGCCUGACAGGGUAGAAUUUAGUGGUGAUGUGGUAGACAGUGGAGGUAGGACAACACAGGCAAAUAUGUGAGCAUCUAGAGGUCAGGUAUUUGGGUUUGGGUGGCUAUAGAGCUGGAUAUUUGAAGGGCUGUUUAGGAAGGAGCAGGAGGUGGGAGGCAGCACACCCUGCCUUGUCUCUAUAUACUGCUUUGCACAAGGUUGAUAACAGAGAUUUCAAAUGACUGCAAACAAUGUUGCAACUAAAGCUUCCUAGUGUGGAAUCCAGUACUAUUGCCAAGUCAGGACAAGCUGAGGAUGGAAAAUGAAGCAGAGCAUGAGCUGAGGAUGUAGACCACCCAGAGAGGCUUUCACUUGGUCAAAGGGAAAAUUAGCUCUGUAUAUGUUUGUGCAGAGAACACUCAUAUAUUAGAACUCUUAUGGUUGCAAAUGAUAGAAGCUCAUCUGGAACCAUCUUAGGCAAAAAGUACAUGGCUCAUGUAGAAAACUCUGGUAAAAGCAGAGAAAAAACUGGCUUCUGGGAUGAUAGAGACAGAGGCUAGUCCCUCACUAGGUUGGAGAGUGCUGGUUUCUCUGUAUCAGCUUUUCUUUUGCAGGCUGGCUUUUCCACAAGACUGGACCAUGGAUAACAACAGCUGCCAGCUUUCAUCUUCCCAGAUUUCACUCAUCCAAUUCGUGGCACACAUACCUAUGGAGCAACUAUUACAUGCCAGCCAUUGUUCUAGAUGCUGGGAAUAGCAAGGGAAGAAAAACAAGAAAAAAAACCCCUCUGUUUAUAUUCUAGGGGGGGAAAUUUAGACAGUAAACCAAAGUAAAGAGUAAUAUUUUAUAGUAUGUUAGAAAGUGAUAAGUGCUAUAGAAGAAAAACAUCAAGCAUAGAAGGAAGAUAGAGAGUGGUGUGUGUGUGUGUGUGUGUGUGUGUGUGUGUGUGUGUGUGUGUGUGUUAAAUUUUAAAUAGAAUAGUCAGUAAAGCCCUUUCUAGGGAGAUGAAAUUUGAGCAAAGACCAGAAUGAAGAGAGAAGCUGAGCCAUGAAGUUAACUGCAGUUUUGAAGAGAACAAGUGUAAAGGAUAUGAGGCUUACCUAUGGCCUUUCUAGAAUGAGAAGUUCAAACUUUGUUUCUAUUAUAUACUCUGAGUACCACAGGGUACACGUGGAUGGAAAUAAUUCUUGUUAAGGCACUAUUCUGUUCACCUCUGACUCUAUGGUCUACAUCUUCUGACAGCCACAAAUAAAAGAAGGUAUGUAAUCAAUUUAUAAUGUAUAAAGAAAAAUGUGACAAGUACUCACCAAGCUAACUUAUUAAAUACUACUAGAUACCCUGUAUAUCUUUCUCCUGCCAUAUUCCUUUUCAUUAUUCCAGAGGCUACACUUAUCCUGAAUUAAUCUUUCCUUACUUUUUCUAUUUCGCUAUUUGUUUUCUUUCUUAAUUGAGUAUGGAUUAUUUUGUACAUACAAAAGAAUGUUAUAUAGAUAACAAACACCCAUGUAUCUACCAUCUAGCUAAAGCAAUAGACUAUUGCCAAGACUACUCAAGUUUCUGUAUUUUCCUUUGAUCAUAACAACUGCAUCCUCUAGCCCUUUCCUAAAUUUUGUGUUUAUCAUUUCCUUGCUUGUCUUUAUAGGCUUACUACAUUUUUUUAUGUAUCCCUAAUAACAUAUCAUUCAGUUUGACAUUUUAAACUUAAUGUAAAUAGCAUAAUAUUGUAUCUAUUCAUCUGUGACUUGCUUUUGCUUUUUGUGAUCAUCGUUAUGUGUAUGAGAUUCUAGGGGUGUGGGGACCAAUUUUGGUAGUUGUGUACUACACAAUUCUAGGGGGAGCUAUUGCUUUAAGUUCUAGACAAAUGGUAACUCCUGGAGUUGUACAGCAUACAAUCUACUUGGCUGUACAAGAUGGCUGUGAUAGAUUGUGGUUCCAAAGAUUGCCACAAGAAUCUUUCCCAUCCCACAGGCUUUUUUAUAAUGUGACCUCAUCCUGUAUCCAUCAAGAAGAUUUGUCUAUUUCUCCUCCCCUUGGAUGUGGGUUGGCUAUCUGACUUAUUUUGACUAACAGAAUACAGGAAAAGUGAUGCUAGAUGACUUCCAAGGUUAGAAAUUCUGUCUUCACCACUUGAAAUGCUCCCUCUUAGAAUCCAGUUAUCAUGUAAGAAAUCUGAUUGCUAUGAAGACACCAUGUUGUGAGGCAGUCCAAUUUAACCAUAUGGUGAGAUAGAGGCCACUUGUAAGAGCAUUUAGGUGCCAGAUAUGUGAAUGAAGCCUUAUGGUACCUUCUACUCUAGCUUAGUCACCAACUGAAUGCAGCUGAGUAAAUGACCCCAGCCAAUGCUAUGUGGAGCAGAACUGGCCAGCUAAGCCCAAACCAAAUUCCUGACUUGCAGUGUCAUGAGCAAAUACAAUAAAAAUAGAAUAGCUCUUCAGAACAUUCAUGGUUGUCCUGAGUCAGGCUGAUCAGUCAUUGGAUAUAGCCAUCUCAGUAAGAAAGGUGACCUUGGGCAAGGCAGUUUUCUGCAACUAAGAUAGUCCCUGAAGGGUUUGACAGCCAAAGGUUGAUGGCCGACAGUGCUCCCAGCUCAUGGGGCUACGAGCCUUCCUUGAAGGGAAAUCUUGGAAAUGCCUCACAGUGUCCACAAAUAUUUUUUUUGUAUCUAAUUAACCCUUUUGCUGAUGAUGGAUAUUUGUAUUUUUAAGAUGAGAUAUUCUCUUGUAUUUUGUAAACAUGUCAAAGUUUUGCUGUUCAUAUUUAAAUCCUGAAUGAAUCUGGAAGUGCUUUUUUUUUUCAUGGUAUGAGGUAAAGAUCCACUUUUUUUCAUACAAAUAAUUUGCAAUGAUGCCUCUGUCAUAUAUCAAGUUUCUCUGUAUGUUUGGAUGUCUUGCUGGGCUGUCAUCAAUUGUAUUAUUGUGUUCUGUUGGCUCAUUUGUUGAUCUCUGAGCCAAUAUCAUAGUGCCUUAAUUACUGUAAAUUUAUAAGGCUUAGAGCAGGAUUCCCUCAACAUUGUCUUUUUUCUUCAAGGCUAUUUUUGACUCUGCUCACCAUAUACAUUUUAAAUCAGUUUGUCAAAUCCCACAUACAAAAAAUUUAUUAUGAAUUAUUUGUUUGUUUUGUUCUGUUUUCUAUGAAAA